AUACGUAGGUGACCAGCGUUAUCCGGAUUUACUGGGCGUAAAGGGCGUGUAGGCGGUCUUGCAAGUCAGAAGUGAAAUUCCUGAGCUCAACUCGGGCGCUGCUUCUGAAACUGCAGGACUUGAGUGCUGGAGGGGAUAGCGGAAUUCCUAGUGGAGCGGUAAAAUGCGCAGAUAUUAGGAAUAACACCGGUGGCGAAGGCGGCUAUCUGGACAGUAACUGACGCUGAGGCGCGAAAGCGUGGGGAGCAAACAGGAUUAGAUACCCUGGUAGUCCACGCCGUAAACGAUGAGCACUAGGUGUCGGGGAGACAAUCCUCGGUGCCGCAGUUAACGCAUUAAGUGCUCCGCCUGGGGAGUACGUUCGCAAGAAUAAAACUCAAAUGAAUUGGCGGGG
rnacentral:rRNA from 1 species